rnacentral:rRNA from 1 species
CGUAGGACGCAAGCGUUAUCCGGAGUUACUGGGCGUAAAGGGCGGGCAGGCGGAACGUCAAGUGGGAUGUGAAAGCUCUCAGCUUAACUGGGAGAGGCCAUUCCAGACUGGCGCUCUGGAGGGCAGUAGAGGUGCGUGGAAUUCCGGGUGGAGUGGUGAAAUGCGUAGAGAUCCGGAGGAACACCAGAGGCGAAGGCGACGCACUGGGCUGCACCUGACGCUGAACCGCGAAAGCCGAGGGAGCGAACGGGAUUACGAAACCCCGGUAGUCCUGGCCGUAAACGAUGUCCACUGAGUGUCGGGGGGUUUCCCCUCGGCGCUGAAGCUAACGCGAUAAGUGGACCGCCUGGGGAGUACGGUCGCAAGGCUA